GACGAACGCUGGCGGCGUGCUUAACACAUGCAAGUCGAACGGUAAGGCCCUUCGGGGUACACGAGUGGCGAACGGGUGAGUAACACGUGGGUGAUCUGCCCUGCACUUCGGGACAAGCCUGGGAAACUGGGUCUAAUACCGGAUAGGACUCCUGGCAUCAUGGUUGGGGGUGGAAAGCUUUUGCGGUGUGGGAUGGGCCCGCGGCCUAUCAGCUUGUUGGUGUGGUAAUGGCCUACCAAGGCGACGACGGGUAGCCGGCCUGAGAGGGUGACCGGUCACACUGGGACUGAGAUACGGCCCAGACUCCUACGGGAGGCAGCAGUGGGGAAUAUUGCACAAUGGGCGCAAGCCUGAUGCAGCGACGCCGCGUGAGGGAUGACGGCCUUCGGGUUGUAAACCUCUUUCAGCUAUGACGAAGCGCAAGUGACGGUAGUAGCAGAAGAAGGACCGGCCAACUACGUGCCAGCAGCCGCCGUAA
rnacentral:rRNA from 1 species